CAUGAUUACUGAUUUUUUUAAACGUUACGUGGUACCUUUUGUAUUGUAACAGGCACUAAACACAAAUUAAUCUUUAAACAUUCAUGAAUCAUAUUAUAUAUGAGAAUUAGAUUGUUACAGAUCAGAAAAACACUAACGUUUAAAAAUGGUACGAUCUUAUUCAUCUAUCAUGAUGCAUAUUUAUAAAAUAAUAUUGAGUAAAAUACUGAUUUAUAUUUUAUAAGAUGAUUAGUUAGUUCAUCAAUGGUUAAGCACAUUCCUCAUUAGAGGAUUAUACUCUUAUGAGAAAAAUUGAAGACAUCCUCAUGAAUACAAGAAUUAUUGUGAGUUCGUGCCUUCUUAAUCAAGUAAUUAUAUAUGAAGAUAAGAUUGUGAGUGUAAUGGUUUGUAUGUCAUAAUCCAGAUUCAAGAAUCAAUAGUGUGUGCCUGUGAUUUGUAUAUUAAAAGCAUAGAAAGCAUUAAUGAUAUAAUUUUGAAGUGUACCUAUGGUAUGAUCAAUUAUCAAAAUUGAUAGUGAUGGCACCUUUUCCUUUUCAAUAAAAAACACUAUGCAGGUUGUCGUUUUCUCCACAGAAUCUUGUAAUACGGAUUGGGUCAAAGAUACAGUAAAUGAACAAGUCAUGUGAAAUUAGCUUACAAGUUACAAUAUAAACGAUGUAAUUUUUGCUGUGAUUUUGAGCUUUUGAUAGUGGCCUGAUUAACCAUUAGGGUUCUUUUUCUCGUGUGCUUUGUUAUGUAACUCGCGUCUUUCUUUGUUUGCUUUGCUAAAAAACUCGGAUAAUAAUAUAAUAUUGGAUUGGUUCUUGUUUAGUCUGUGAAUCUACUUAUUUGACUCUUCAAUCUGUUCUAUGUGGUUUAUCUUGGCUCGCUAGAAUGAGUAGUCCACAGCCAUUUCCUUAGCUACUGCAUCUCUAAUGGGUGUUUAAGACGCAGGUUUUGGGUUUAAGUACACAUGGAGAAUGUUUCGAACCAACGAAAAUGGAUCUUACUUCUUACAUAUACAAACAUUGUGGUGGGCUGGCUAAUAAGGUGGGAAAUGUUCUUGUAUAUCAUUUUUUGUCCUUGUAUCGUGUUGUGACAUUACUUGAAAAUCAUAAAAUCCACUGAACUAGUGUUUGGUGGUUUAUCAUGUAUAUGUUUUCAAGAUGAUUUUACCACUGUUCAUGAAAUUUAGCAUCUCUAGGUAAAAAAUAAAAGUACUCGAGCGAGGGUGGAAACUGUGAUAAAGAAUCGUGCACAAGAAGAGGUCACGUGCUUAAUCUCUUCUCUUACACACACUAACUCUUCUGCUGCUGCCUGCUGCUACUUUCCUUCCAAACUCCGCCCAAUAGUCCCAACGAUAUGGACACCAAUCCCAUCUUAAUUCAUAUCACCAAAGCGGGUGAUCCAUUUUCUCUCUCCUCAGUUUGGUAUGAAGGAUUAUCUCAGCCGUUCAUUUUGACUAAUUACCUAAUUCAUCUCUCUCCCGUUGAUCCUAUAGUACAUCAUUUUGCCAGUUUCUCUUUUGUAUUUAUCCUUAGUCGUGAUUGACACAUUUUACCUGCUAGCGUCUGCUUUUAUGCAGACCUUCCUUAAAAAAAAUGGGUGAUUUAAAAGAUCUUAAAUUAAAGUUAAAAAAGUUAGAACAUGGUGAUCAUUUUCUGUCCCAUGAUGCAAGAGGAAUGCCUUAGGAAAAAAUCAUGUAAUAUUUUUUUAUCCGUAUCCAAACAACACAUGGAAUCGAAAACCUACUAAUUUUCUUCGGUUAGGCCUAGUAACCAAUAACUUCCGUGCGAUUCAGUUAAACGAACUGGAAUAUAUAAGCCAGUUAGAUACUAGGUGAUAGCUAUACCGGAAUCUCAAUUUCGUGUUUAUCUACAAAAAUAAAACGGAACCCUAGUCUGUACUAGCUCGAUAACAGUAUAAACUGUAAAAAGGUCGCGCAUUGUCGUGCUCUCUUGACAUUACUCUCUUCUCUCUCUCUCUGAAAUAUAUAUAUUUAUAUCUGGUAGCUUCUUCAUCAGUAACACGAGAACGUAUUGAGGAGAAUCUCGCAUCAUCAAGACCAAAUAGGAAUUUAUGAACACGAGAAUCUUCUUGUUCCUUCUCGAUAUCGGCAGCUGCGUCGCAGUUGGUGAUUGCAUCUUGAAGUUGAUGCACUCUUGUCCCAUUCUUAAGAGAGAAGCGGAAGCGGAGAGUUUCCCAAAGUUUAUUAGCUUCAAGAACAAACGAACCUUUGCAUCUAUUGAUGUUUUGAUCAAUCCAACAAUUAUCGAAUUCACAGCUAACCAUCGAGAGAGAUCCGGCUCAGAGGUUUUGGUACCGUCCUGUCAAUGAAGCCGGUUUUCUGCUUCGCCUGAAGCGAGUUUCGGAGUUCUGUCGAUCAUUCCGAAUAGUUUUCGCUAUUGAGCAUAACAGAUGUGAUAAGGCCCCCCGGAUUAUCCGAGGGAUUAAGGUAGUAUGGCAACGGAGCAUUGAUAGCAGGUGUAGUCACCGUAAUAGUAGUAGGAUUGACCGUGGACGAUUAUCGUCAGACAUAAUAGUAGUUUAGAAGUAUAUGUUUGAGAAAAAAAUAUUAGGUCAUAGUUUGUAAGAUCUUAGCUCUGAUGCGAUGAAACAUAUUGUGAAAUCGUAUGUUUAUUGAUACAAUAUGCUGAUGAGUAUAUAACUAUAUAUACAAAAUAAGAAGUUCCCAAUCUAACUAGUAAAUGUUACAUUAUAUCUAGUCCCACAAUAAUAGAGAAAUCAUAUUAGUAUGUUUAUCUCUUUACUCUCUUUCCGGCAAAGGAUACGAAUUUCUUGGUGAGAUUAUCUUCUACGAUGAUCAAUCUGUUCUGUUUUCGAAUCGUUCAAAGAUGUUAGAUCCGAAUAGUCUUCUUCCUGAUCGUUUCAAGCGCAAAAAAAAAAUGCCAUCGUCUCUUGGUUUGAUGAUACUGAUCUCCUUCUGAAACCCUUUCCUUUUCCGUUUUAAAUUUUCUUUCCCUUUAUAGAAAGUUUUGAUCUUUCCUAAAUAUGUUGGAGCUGAUGGAGUUAAAGGGUUGUACAGAGGGUCUGGGGUGGAGUUGGGUGUGUUAUGUUUGUAAGAAAAAAGAAGAUAAUGGUAACAUGGUUAAACCAGACUCUAAAAUGGUUAUGGCUAUUCAAGGAGUUAAUGCUGCGAUUGCUGGGAGUGUUUCUGCUUUGAUCACAAUGCCACUGGACACUAUCAAGACGAGGUUGCAGGUUCUUGAUGGGGAAGAUAGUAGUAGUUAUUAGUAAUAACAACAACAACUGGAGGCGUGGACCGAGUAUAAGAAACUUGGUUAAGGAAGGUGGAUGGACAUCUUGUUACAGAGGAUUGGGACCAAGAUGUGCUUCAGUGUCAAUGUCUGCAACCACUAUGAUCACUACCUACGAGUUCUUGAAACGGCUUUCUGCUAAGAACCAUGACGGGUUUUGCUCUAAAUCAUAGUGUUAACAGCUGAGAAAACCAUGUAGAAUGUUGUUGUCUUGCUGUUCUGCUUUCUCUUUUGUUUCCAGUCAUAAGAUGUUAGGAGUG